rnacentral:rRNA from 1 species
UACGUAUGUGGCAAGCGUUGUCCGGGUUUACUGGGCGUAAAGGGCGCGUAGGCGGCAAUUCAAGUCAUCUGUGAAAUCUCCGGGCUUAACCCGGAACGGUCAGAUGAUACUGCUUUGCUAGAGUGCGGAAGGGGCAAUCGGAAUUCUUGGUGUAGCGGUGAAAUGCGUAGAUAUCAAGAGGAACACCUGAGGUGAAGACGGGUUGCUGGGCCGACACUGACGCUGAUAGCGCGAAAGCCAGGGGAGCAAACGGG